CUCCGGAGCCACCGAGAGACGCGGCCUCCACCGCGCCUAGAGAGGCCACGCCGCGUCCGGCCUCCCAAGGCCGCACUUCCGGCGUGGCUCUCUUACUGCUGGGCCUGGGGGCCCUAGUGGCCGCCCCCCAACCCUGGCCGGCCCCCGUCCUGUUUCAGCCGGUGUCACCCCGCCGAGGCGGGGCCUGGCACGGUCUGGCGGUGGUCGUCAUGUGUGGCGGCGACCGCCUCCCCAUCCCCCUUCGCUGGUUUUUGCGCACUUCGGGAGCGGCGCGCGGUCCGGGGCUGGAGCGUCCGAGGACAACGCUGUGGCCAACGUGGAGGAUUAGCGCGGGCGGAAGGAAGAGGCUGCGCUCACUGCCAUCUUGGCUCAGGUUACCCAUGGGCCCUGAUCGCAGGAUAGGGUCUGCUAUGAAGCCGUGGAGACCAGGAUCAGAAAGCACCCGGCACCUGCACCCUGAACCCCGCAACUCAACCCCAGGCCAGGAUGGAGGCAGAUUGGAAGACCCCGCCCCAGCCUCUACUCACCCACCGGAGGCCUGGUUUUACAUUUGUAUCUGUUUUUCCUAUAUUGAAAAUCCUGGAUCCUAAUUAUCUAAACACAAUUACUUAUUUACUUUAUCAUUUAUAUGUAAUGGUUUCAGAAUGACAAUGUCAAUAUUAUUAACAGUAUGAUUAUUGAAAAUAGUCUAGGUUUUUUUUGCAGUUAUUCUUGUUGUUAGGAUAUAUCCCAUUUGGGAUAUUACUCUGCUUCAAAGUAAAUUGAAAAAUUUUGUUUCUGUGGGGUUAAGACCCUAACUCUAUACUAGUUCACUUGUUUCAUUUUGGUUUUGCUUUUUAAAGUUGCAUUUUUCAAAUUUUGAUAAAAUUUUGUGUUUUUUUUUUGUUUUUGUUUUUUUUGCGGUACGCAGGCCUCUCACUGUUGUGGCCUCUCCCAUUGCGGAGCACAGGCUCCGGACGCGCAGGCUCAGCGGCCACGGCUCACGGGCCCAGCCGCUCCACGGCAUGUGGGAUCUUCCCGGCCCGGGGCACGAACCCAUGUCCCCUGCAUCGGCAGGCGGACUCGCAACCACUGCGCCACCAGGGAAGCCCCC
rnacentral:lncRNA from 1 species